rnacentral:rRNA from 1 species
UAUUGGACAAUGGGGGAAACCCUGAUCCAGCGACGCCGCGUGAGUGAAGAAGUAUUUCGGUAUGUAAAGCUCUAUCAGUAGGGAAGAAAAUGACGGUACCUAACUAAGAAGCCCCGGCUAACUACGUGCCAGCAGCCGCGGUAAUA